AACGAACGCUGGCGGCAUGCCUAACACAUGCAAGUCGAACGAGACCUUCGGGUCUAGUGGCGCACGGGUGCGUAACGCGUGGGAAUCUGCCCUUCGGUUCGGAAUAACUCAGGGAAACUUGAGCUAAUACCGGAUGAUGUCUUCGGACCAAAGAUUUAUCGCCGAGGGAUGAGCCCGCGUAGGAUUAGGUAGUUGGUGGGGUAAUGGCCCACCAAGCCGACGAUCCUUAGCUGGUCUGAGAGGAUGAUCAGCCACACUGGGACUGAGACACGGCCCAGACUCCUACGGGAGGCAGCAGUGGGGAAUAUUGGACAAUGGGCGAAAGCCUGAUCCAGCAAUGCCGCGUGAGUGAUGAAGGCCUUAGGGUUGUAAAGCUCUUUUACCAGGGAUGAUAAUGACAGUACCUGGAGAAUAAGCUCCGGCUAACUCCGUGCCAGCCGCCGCAGUAA
rnacentral:rRNA from 1 species